UGGGGAAUUUUGGACAAUGGGCGAAAGCCUGAUCCAGCAAUGCCGCGUGUGUGAAGAAGGCCUUCGGGUUGUAAAGCACUUUUGUCCGGAAAGAAAUCCUUGGCUCUAAUACAGUCGGGGGAUGACGGUACCGGAAGAAUAAGCACCGGCUAACUACGUGCCAGCAGCCGCGGUAAUACGUAGGGUGCAAGCGUUAAUCGGAAUUACUGGGCGUAAAGCGUGCGCAGGCGGUUUGCUAAGACCGAUGUGAAAUCCCCGGGCUCAACCUGGGAACUGCAUUGGUGACUGGCAGGCUAGAGUAUGGCAGAGGGGGGUAGAAUUCCACGUGUAGCAGUGAAAUGCGUAGAGAUGUGGAGGAAUACCGAUGGCGAAGGCAGCCCCCUGGGCCAAUACUGACGCUCAUGCACGAAAGCGUGGGGAGCAAAACAGGAUUAGAUACCCUGGUAGUCCACGCCCUAAACGAUGUCAACUAGUUGUUGGGGAUUCAUUUCCUUAGUAACGUAGCUAACGCGUGAAGUUGACCGCCUGGGGAGUACGGUCGCAAGAUUAAAACCCAAAGGAAUUGACGGGGUCAUAGCUGUUUCCU
rnacentral:rRNA from 1 species